CGCCGUUAUCCAUUUCCCUUCUGCUUGCACGUCGUUAUUGUACAAAACCUCCCAAGGUUUCUAAUAUUCCUAGAUUUUGAAGAGUUUCAUGAGGAUCACGAUGGACGCUGGUGGCACAUGCAAGUCGUACGGAGUCGUCUGAAGUUCGUUUGAAGAUAGUGGCGGACGGGUGAGUAACGCGUGAGAAUCUGCCUUUAAGUCGGGGACCACCACUAGAAACGGUUGCUAAUCCCGUAUAUGCUGGGGCAAGAAAGAUUUAUCGCCCGAAGAUGAGCUUGCGUUUGGUUAGGUAGUUGGUGGGGUAAGGGCUUUCCAAGGCGACGAUCCGUAGCUGGUCUGAGAGGAUGAUCAGCCACACUGGGACUGAGACACGGCCCAGACUCCUUCGGGAGGCAGCAGUGGGGAAUUUUUCGCAAUGGGCGAAAGCCUGACGGAGCAAUACCGCGUGGAGGAGGAAGGGCCAUGGGUUGUAAACCUCUUUUCUCAGGGAAGAAAAAAAUGACGGUACCUGAGGAAUAAGCAUCGGCUAACUCCGUGCCAGCAGCCGCGGUAAGACGGGGGAUGCAAGCGUUAUCCGGAAUGAUUGGGCGUAAAGGGUCCGUAGGUGGUACCUUAAGUCCGCUGUCAAAAACCAGGGCUCAACCCCGGAAAAGCAGUGGAAACUACUGAACUAGAGUGCGUUAGGGGCAGAAGGAAUUUCUGGUGGAGCGGUGAAAUGCGUAGAUAUCAGGAAGAACACCAAAGGCGAAGGC
rnacentral:rRNA from 1 species